CAGCCGCCACGGUAAUACAGAGGGUGCGAGCGUUAAUCGGAUUUACUGGGCGUAAAGCGUGCGUAGGCGGCUUCUUAAGUCGGAUGUGAAAUCCCUGAGCUUAACUUAGGAAUUGCAUUCGAUACUGGGAAGCUAGAGUAUGGGAGAGGAUGGUAGAAUUCCAGGUGUAGCGGUGAAAUGCGUAGAGAUCUGGAGGAAUACCGAUGGCGAAGGCAGCCAUCUGGCCUAAUACUGACGCUGAGGUACGAAAGCAUGGGGAGCAAACAGGAUUAGAUACCCUGUAGUCCCUGUCUCUUAUACA
rnacentral:rRNA from 1 species